ACCUUCGUGGUGUAGUGGUCAGCACGCUCGACGCGUAACCGAGAGGUCCGUGGUUCGAUUCCUGGCGAAGGUA
rnacentral:tRNA from 1 species